ACUCAAAGGAAUUGACGGGGACCCGCACAAGCAGUGGAGUAUGUGGUUUAAUUCGAAGCAACGCGAAGAACCUUACCAGGGCUUGACAUCCCCUGCAUACCAUAGAGAUAUGGGAAGUCCUUCGGGACAGGGAGACAGGUGGUGCAUGGUUGUCGUCAGCUCGUGUCGUGAGAUGUUGGGUUAAGUCCCGCAACGAGCGCAACCCUUAUGGUCAGUUGCCAUCAUUCAGUUGGGCACUCUGGCGAGACUGCCGGUGAUAAAUCGGAGGAAGGUGGGGAUGACGUCAAAUCAUCAUGCCCCUUAUGUCCUGGGCUACACACGUACUACAAUGGACGGUACAACGGGCAGCGAAGAAGCAAUUCGGAGCGAAUCCUUUAAAACCGUCCCCAGUUCGGAUUGCAGGCUGAAACCCGCCUGCAUGAAGUUGGAAUUGCUAGUAAUGGCAGGUCAGCAUACUGCCGUGAAUACGUUCCCGGGUCUUGUACACACCGCCCGU
rnacentral:rRNA from 1 species